GACGAACGCUGGCGGCGUGCUUAACACAUGCAAGUCGAACGGAAAGGCCCUGCUUUUGUGGGGUGCUCGAGUGGCGAACGGGUGAGUAACACGUGAGUAACCUGCCCUUGACUUUGGGAUAACUUCAGGAAACUGGGGCUAAUACCGGAUAGGAGCUCCUGCUGCAUGGUGGGGGCUGGAAAGUUUCGGCGGUUGGGGAUGGACUCGCGGCUUAUCAGCUUGUUGGUGGGGUAGUGGCUUACCAAGGCUUUGACGGGUAGCCGGCCUGAGAGGGUGACCGGCCACAUUGGGACUGAGAUACGGCCCAGACUUCUACGGGAGGCAGCAGUGGGGAAUAUUGCACAAUGGGCGGAAGCCUGAUGCAGCAACGCCGCGUGCGGGAUGACGGCCUUCGGGUUGUAAACCGCUUUCGCCUGUGACGAAGCGUGAGUGACGGUAAUGGGUAAAGAAGCACCGGCUAACUACGUG
rnacentral:rRNA from 1 species